UCAUAUUGUACAAUAACACAUUAUCUGAUUAAUCUCUCUAGUCCUACACCUUCUCACUAAUGCCAAAACAAAUGAACAAAUACUAACAUACAACAACAAAUUCUUACUAUACAUCACUUAUGCAAGAAGAGAAAUAUUUAUCAUAUUAAACACUAUAAAUGUCAACCAAGGACAAAAAAAAAUCUAAAUCUAAAUCAAUACAAAAUCAUUAGUCCUUGUCCA
rnacentral:lncRNA from 1 species